rnacentral:lncRNA from 1 species
UCAUUUCCGAAGAAAAAUAAAUAAAUCCAAGAGGGCCCAUGUGCUCUUGGACUUCAAGUCUGCAGACUAUGGCCUUUAGCCACAUUACAUACCUGGCCUUAUCUUGCUAUUUACAAUUCAUAACUAGCUAUUUACAAAAUAAGUUUACAGAAAUAAUCACCUUUUAUUUACAGCUUAACCCCCUUACUAAAAUAACCCUUUUGAUGAAACAAGCAAGGUUAUAUGAACUUUAAUCAAUGAAAGGGUUUAACUUUGCGACAUCAAAGGGGACAAACAUAAAACUAAAUAUAAAAGAAACUCAAGGCUAGACCUUACUUACAUUGGCUCAAAGUUUAAUACAUACUCCUUUCACACAACUGGAAAAAUGAUGGCCAAAUGAUAUUAUAUCCAAAACUUUGACACAAGAUUAAAGAUGCAUGUCACAACUUAAUUACUAACAUAUAAUCAUAAUAUUAUCCAACAUCUAAGAGCAUGUAACAAAAAAUGAAUUACAAUAAACCACUGAUACUACUAAUAUUUCCAAACAUCAUUAUCUUUCAUUCCAACUUGAUUUUAGGAGUUUACAUGGUCUGAAAGUUACCUGGACAGCAGAAGGAAGAAAAAUUCAGCAAAUCAACUAUUUCCAGAUCACAACAGAACAAUAGUUAAUAUUAGCAGCAACGCAGCAAAAGACAGCCAACACCCGGCAGACUUUUGAACUCAAGAAAAUGAACCAGAAUAACCAGCAAAGCAGUUGAAACUAGCCACUAGUAACUCCAAACAAAAUGCUUACAAGACCCCUCUACUUCUCUUAAAAGUAUUGCACCUUAAGAAUCAAACACACAAAGUUUUUUAUUCUCCGGAAGAUCACUCCAAGACUCAAAGUUCUCAAGCUUUCAGUUGUAAAAGAUGUUCUCUAUCUCUGUCCAGAAUAUUUCCCUAAGUGUGAAAGAACGACCUCUUUAAGUAGGAAAAAUAAUUCCUUUUGGACAGAUUUUGGUUCAUCAAAAAUUUGUCCAAAAGGACUAACUUUUGUGUGCCAAAACAGUCCACUUUUCACCAAAUUCUGACAUAAAGCAGAGCAGUUGCAUUUCCAGCAUGUUUAAAUAGUAAAAUACCCACCAACCAUGUAGUUUAAACUCAAGUAUUCAGCUUUUAUCUAUACAUGACUGAAAUUUAGCUUAUUCAGCUUAUCUAUCGAACUAAGUAUUUAGACAAACUAGAUUAGAAUGAAUUUGAUUUGUGCAAACUAACAUGGAACAACAACUGAAUUUCACAAGCUAAUGCUCGAAACAGAAAUUAAACGAACUUUGCUAAACUAUCACGAUUAAUAACAACUAAAUAUACGACUAACUAUAUAAACAAUUCAACUAAUCUUUGGGUUUUUCAUGAAAUUAAUAUAAAGACUUAAUUAUUAGACCGACUAGGUCGAAGAACUGAAAAUUCGAAUUUAACAACUCUAUACAAAAUAGCCGACCGACUAGGUCGAAGAACCAAAAAUCAGAACUAACAGAUAACAACGAACUACUCGAUCGGCUAGGUCGAAGAACUGAAAUUCAUAUUUAUAAAGUAACAUGUAAUUGAAAACUAAUACUCAUUGCUUAUAAAUAACAGAAACAUUAAUGGAAAUUAAACCUUUAAAACUAAUACCAAUUACAAAAGUGAUGAAAAGAUAAAAAAGAAGUAAGGUUUAUACCAAUCGAGGGCAUUUGACACUUUUCGAGCCAUGAGAAAAUGCCGGAGAUACCAAAUGGAGGCUGUCCAACCUCGAAAUGGAGUUUCUUUUUAGUACAUGCUGGACCCAUUGGAUUUUAGCGUCGUGCUAAAAAGAAACGAUCGUCUGAGUCAAAAAAUGCUAAAAACAGACCCUUUGCGGACAGGUGGCCACCAACGAGCUUGCUAAAAAAUAGUGGUCAGAGAUUGAAAUCUAAACUUACAUAUAUCAAUAGCUCUCCAAGAGAUCUAUCCAAAUGUGCUUGUAUUAUGGAAUGAGGAUGGCUAGAAUCUGACCAAUUUCAAAAGAAAUAGGGGCUAGGGUUUCGGUUCUUUUGAAGAUUUGUGUCGUUUGAGAAGGAUUCGAGGGAUUUGGGGCAUGGAUUAGGGUAGAAGAGGAGAAGAUGAAGAGAUUGGCGUUGUUUGGAAGGUGUUUGGCCACUGGAGGUUGGAAGCGCCGCCGUGGGGGACGGGCAGCAGAGGUGGAGGAAGAAAGAGUGAAUAGGGAGAAGUUAGGGUUUUAAGGUUUCGGGUUAUGGGAGAAAUGACCCAUUUUUCUGAUUUUAGAGGGCUUAUAUACCUCUUGGG